UGGGGAAUAUUGCACAAUGGGCGCAAGCCUGAUGCAGCGACGCCGCGUGAGGGAUGACGGCCUUCGGGUUGUAAACCUCUUUCAGCAUCGACGAAGCGCAAGUGACGGUAGAUGCAGAAGAAGCACCGGCCAACUACGUGCCAGCAGCCGCGGUAAUACGUAGGGUGCGAGCGUUGUCCGGAAUUACUGGGCGUAAAGAGCUCGUAGGUGGUUUGUCGCGUUGUCCGUGAAAACUCACAGCUUAACUGUGGGCGUGCGGGCGAUACGGGCAGACUGGAGUACUGCAGGGGAGACUGGAAUUCCUGGUGUAGCGGUGGAACGCGCGAG
rnacentral:rRNA from 1 species